GAUGAACGCUGGCGGCGUGCUUAACACAUGCAAGUCGAACGGUGAAGGCGGAGCUUGCUCUGCUGGAUCAGUGGCGAACGGGUGAGUAACACGUGAGCAAUCUGCCCCUGACUCUGGGAUAAGCGCUGGAAACGGCGUCUAAUACCGGAUACGAGCUGCGAAGGCAUCUUCAGCAGCUGGAAAGAACUUCGGUCAGGGAUGAGCUCGCGGCCUAUCAGCUUGUUGGUGAGGUAACGGCUCACCAAGGCGUCGACGGGUAGCCGGCCUGAGAGGGUGACCGGCCACACUGGGACUGAGACACGGCCCAGACGCCUACGGGAGGCAGCAGUGGGGAAGAGUGCACAAUGGGCGAAAGCCUGAUGCAGCAACGCCGCGUGGGGGACGACGGCCUUCGGGUUGUAAACCUCUUUUAGCAGGGAAGAAGCGAAAGUGACGGGACCUGCAGAAAAAGCGCCGGCUAACUACGU
rnacentral:rRNA from 1 species